rnacentral:lncRNA from 1 species
AAAUCUAAUGUUCUUCAAAGCACAUGGAAAUAGUGUGGACAUAUAGAUACUGAUUGAGCUGCUAUGUGUAGGAACCAAGAGUCUUCAUUUCUAGCAAGCUCCCAGGUGAAGGCGAGGAUACUUGUCUGAGGAUCACUCUAAAUAGCAAGGUCCUAGAGCAGAUACUAAGUAUUAAUCACCCUUAAGAAGGCUGGGCGCAGUGGCUCACGCCAGUAAUCCCAGCACUUUGGGAGGCCGAGGUGGGCAGAUCACGAGGUCAGGAGUUCAAGACCAGCAUGACCAACAUGGUGAAACCCCAUCUCUACUAAAAAUACAAAAAUUAGCCGGGCGUGGUGGUGCAUGCCUGUAAUCCCAGCUACUUGGGAGGCUGAAGCAGAAGAAUCACUUGAACCCAGGAGGCGGAGGUUGCAGUGAGCCGAGACCGCACCACUGUACUCCAGCCUGGUGACAGAGUGAGACUCCAUCUCCAAAAAAAAAAAAGAAGUCUUAAAAAAUAGUCUAAAUAACUUAAUCAUUGAUGAACUUCAUAUCAGAUUGUAACAGCAUGUAAAUGUUAGGUACCUCAAAAUUUAGAAACCUAAAUAGCCCCCCAAAAGGAAAACUAAUAAGAAUCUAUUCAAAGUGAGUAAGGUUAUUUAAGUGUAGAAGUUGUUCACCAUAAGGGGAUAUCUGUCUGCACCUCCUCAAAAAGGGUUCUCUGCCAGCUUCCAAAGUCAUUUUAGGUGUUUGUUGCAAUUGGAAAGGGGGUCAGCAGGACAGAAUUCACUCCCAGUGUUGCUUAAAAGGCAGCAGUUUAUUUAAGGACAAUCUAAGUGUGAUGUUGGUGUUCUAGAAGGCUGUUCUUUCCCUUCAAAAGUCACUAACUCACAAACGAUGUUAAACCAAAAUGUGAAAACGCUAGGCAGAGUUUACUGUUCUCGGCUGAGUUCAGAGCCAUCUGCUAAUGUGGACUCAUUGUUUACUUUCCCAUUUUAAAAGACACUGCCUCCCCAGACAGAGCCCUUCUUUUACUCAUUUUGAUAUCCUAUACCUAGUUUAGUGUUUAGUGCACAACUGACAUGAACACAAUGAACUAAAUGGUUGGAUGAGGCAAUUCUGAAACAUCUGUGUUCACUCACGAAAAUAAAACUGGAAAACAAGUCACUCUAACUUGUUAAAUGCAAACAUGUUAAGAGAUAGGUGAUAUAUGAUGGAGAUAGAAAAAACUCUGCUAUUUAAAACAGAAAUCAAACAUUUGUUCUAAGGGAAAGAAGUGAGAAAAAUUAUUUUCUCUGGGUGUUGCCUUGGUGGGAGAGGAUGAAAUAAAGAUAACUUAUUUAAUAAAGGGGGAGGAAUCCUGAGUUUUCUCCUCUGUCCCCAGGGAAAGCAGAGCGAUGACUCUGAGGGAUAGUUGCCAGAUUUAGAAAAAAUAUAGAAUACCUGGUAAAACUUGAAAUUCAGAUAAAACAGGAGUAGCUUUUUAGUAUAAAUAGGUCCUAUAUAAUAUUUGGGACAUACAUGCAUGGUAGAUUUUGGAACUCUAGGGUAAAGAGAAGUGUGAAGAAUUUCAAAGGGUAGAGAAAAACUUCAGAAUCUGAGGUGGAGGGUGGGGGAUGGUUGUAGUCUGGAAUCUGAGAGAAAUGAGGGUCAGUGAGAAGUUCCCAGUUACAUGGGAGAAUCGGAUGAAGUGCUUUUUAGAUACAGUGCAGUUUUCUUCCAAGG